ACAGAGCAAAAUCCUGUCUCACAAAAAAAAUAAAAAAGACAAUGUAGGAAGACUGGGGUGAACUAUAACAUUAAGGACACCAUAUAUAUGCCCUUGUGAAAUCCCCUCCCACAUGGACUUUAGGCCUGGCUAUGAGAUUUGCUUUGGACAAUGACGCAAUAAUACUGAAAUAUAGGCAGAGGCUUCGCAUGUGCUUGUACAUGGACUUUCCCCCUUGGAAUGCUGCUGCCAUCACCACGUGGAAAAGCCAGAUCCGGCCCUCCUGAGGCGGAGUAAUCACAGGGAGAGAGAGGCCCAGCUGGCCCACUAGCUGAAUGUAGCCAAUGAGGGAGCCCAAGCAAGAUCAGCAGAACUAUGCGGCCAAAGCGGAGAAACCUCCCCUUGCUUAAGCAUCAUCUGAAUCCAGCCCCAUGUACUCUUCUGAAGCUCCUGUUGGUACGUGCUUGUCUAGGUCUUACAUCUUCUUUGGGGAACAGUCAUUUACCUCUACCCAUCAGGCAGCCUUCUUGAGGAGCAGGUGCAGAGAGAGACAAAGCUGGAGCAUAAGAUGUGAAAGGAAGGGAGAGGAAGUAG